CGAAACACAGCUCUUCGUUAUGGCCGUUAGACCGCCGUUGAUCUAGUCGUCGCAGCUCCUCUGUCACGGUUGAUCUUGGUUUCUUCCGUGCCGCCGACCGUCGACCUCGUCGUUGCCUCACAGCGCUUGGACAACGACAUCGUUACUGGGCAACAUGUUUGCCCGUCGCCACGUUAUCUUCAACAUCACGACUCUACUAGACUUCGUGCGCUCGUCGACACUUAGUUGUCGAUCUCCGCCACGUCAGCCUUGACGCGUCUUGCGUUCGCGCUGGAAGAUGAAAGAGAAGAGCUAGAGCAACACUCGUCAAGUAUCAGUGGUAUGUGCAAGCCGUAUAAUGUCGUCCAUUUCGUGGUUUCAAGUCGAAUUUAAUUAUAGUAAGCUGAUUCGCUACUAUUAUUAUUUUGUUUUAAUGAAUGGAUUGAUAGAUCUGUAGGUUGCGACGAUUAUUCUGCUUAUAGCUCGGACGCGUAUUUAUUCGAUGCUUGUAGGAAUACGGGGCUACAUGUAGCAUGGUAAUUGUAUCCUCGAUUUCGAAGUCGUCGUGCUGUAUAGCUAAGUCUAAGUCUCAAGGCAUAGGUUAUGUCUAAUUACAUUGAUACGUGUGUACAAUAGGGGUUGUCGAGGUUACGAGGAAAGAAAUUAAUUGUGCUUCUGUGUUGAAGACAAUAAUUUGCUUUAGGAGAUUUAUAAUAGUAAGCCUAAGUUCGUUAAUCUUUAGGUGUAUUCUUUAGCCAAGAAAAAUAUAGUCUUUAUACAUAAUUGUAGUUCUUGUUCAAGUUAACUUCGGUUAAGCUAGAGUAACUUGAUUAUUGUGUUUAAUUGUUUAGCUGCAUCUAGCGUGUGCUUAGGAGUGAUGUAUUGUGCUUCGCCAUUAAGUAAUUAAUUAUCUAUUACGUAGCAUUAUUUAAGUUGUGAUAUUCCCGUUUAUAUGCAUUCAUGUGCAUUAUGCAAAUCAUUUAGGUAUGUUAAUUAAUCGCAUGAUACGGAAGAAGAACCAAGCCGGCCCCAAGCGCGGGCUAAUAUGCAAGCUGAAGCUGAU
rnacentral:lncRNA from 1 species